GGGUUGCUAACUCAAUGGUAGAGUACUCGGCUUUUAUCCGACUAGUUCCGGGUUCGAAUCCCGGGCAACCCA
rnacentral:tRNA from 1 species